rnacentral:tRNA from 86 species
GGGUGAUUAGCUCAGUGGUAGAGCGCUUCGUUCACAUCGAAGAUGUCAGGGGUUCAAAUCCCUUAUCACCCACCA